rnacentral:rRNA from 1 species
UACGAAGGGGGCUAGCGUUGCUCGGAAUCACUGGGCGUAAAGGGCGCGUAGGCGGCCGAUUAAGUCGGGGGUGAAAGCCUGUGGCUCAACCACAGAAUUGCCUUCGAUACUGGUUGGCUUGAGACCGGAAGAGGACAGCGGAACUGCGAGUGUAGAGGUGAAAUUCGUAGAUAUUCGCAAGAACACCAGUGGCGAAGGCGGCUGUCUGGUCCGGUUCUGACGCUGAGGCGCAAAAGCGUGGGGAGCAAACAGG